rnacentral:rRNA from 1 species
AUUGAACGCUGGCGGCAGGCCUAACACAUGCAAGUCGAGCGAGCGGCGGACGGGUGAGUAAUGUCGGGGAAACUGCCUGAUGGAGGGGGCUAACUACUGGAAACGGUAGCUAAUACUGCAUACCAUCAGAUGUGCCCAGAUGGGCUUAGCUAGUAGGUGGGGUAAUGGCUCACCUAGGCGACGAUCCCUAGCUGGUCUGAGAGGCUGACCGGCCACACUGGAACUGAGACACGGUCCAGACUCCUACGGGAGGCAGCAGUGGGGAAUAUUGGACAAUGGGCGCAAGCCUGAUGCAGCCAUGCCGCGUGUGUGAAGAAGGCCUUCGGGUUGUAAAGCACUUUCAGCGGGGAGGCGGUACUCGAAGAGGAAGCACCGGCUAACUCCGUGCCAGCCGCCGCGGUAAUUC